rnacentral:rRNA from 1 species
UACGGAGGGAGCUAGCGUUGUUCGGAAUUACUGGGCGUAAAGCGCGCGUAGGCGGCUUUGUAAGUUAGAGGUGAAAGCCCGGGGCUCAACCCCGGAAUUGCCUUUAAGACUGCAUCGCUUGAAUCCGGGAGAGGUGAGUGGAAUCCCGAGUGUAGAGGUGAAAUUCGUAGAUAUUCGGAAGAACACCAGUGGCGAAGGCGGCUCACUGGACCGGCAUUGACGCUGAGGUGCGAAAGCGUGGGGAGCAAACAGG